UGACAUCAAGAAACAAAUUGACACAACUAUUACCAACAACACGAAAGAUAAUCUAAGGAGAGAAGGUAAGGAGCAUGUGAAAGCAAUUGCACUCCGAUCGGGCAAAGUACUGAGUAACCCAAGUACUACUACUUCGAAAAUAAUAAUUGAGAAUAAUGAUAAUUCUUAAGAGGUAUCCCUAGAUGUAGCAAAUGAGCCAAAAUCAGAGGAGUUAAUC
rnacentral:lncRNA from 1 species